rnacentral:rRNA from 1 species
GUCCACGCCCUAAACGAUGUCAACUAGUUGUCGGGUCUUAACGGACUUGGUAACGCAGCUAACGCGUGAAGUUGACCGCCUGGGGAGUACGGUCGCAAGAUUAAAACUCAAAGGAAUUGACGGGGACCCGCACAAGCGGUGGAUUAUGUGGAUUAAUUCGAUGCAACGCGAAAAACCUUACCUACCCUUGACAUGUACCGAAGCCCGCUGAGAGGUGGGUGUGCCCGAAAGGGAGCGGUAACACAGGUGCUGCAUGGCUGUCGU